AGAAUCUUCUCUGCAGUCCAUUAGCGAUGUGAUCCUAUUAACAAAAGACAAGAUUCACAAAUCAACUUUUCACUUCAUUACACGGACCAGAAUGAGUAAAUUACCCUGCCGGUAAACCAGCACAGGUACUGGAUCUGGCGUCAACAGUAACUUCCCUUCCCUCUUCCAACGACUUGUCUUCUGUGAUGACGUGUUUACUGGAGCGAGGACAGGACAACCUGUCACUCACAUGACAUCCGCAGCAAUAGCAAGAGUUAAUGAUCCAAUCAAUUCCCAAUGGACAAAAAUCAAGUCCUGCCCUACUCUCUUUUUUUCUUGUGCGAGAAGCUGUUUUACUCUGAAUAUAUGUCAUAACUUGAAGCUGCGCAGAGCAGAAAUAUAAUAAAAUGUAUAAAAUAGUACUGUGAGAGCCAUUUGGUAAAAUUCGCAUUCCAGGGGCUAACUAUCACAUUACUGGUGGCACUUCAACACACAAACAUGGAAAAACAACCCGCAGGGACAGCGUUAAAGUCAUAGAUAUAUACAUGUAGAUGCCUCAUUAGCGACUAUUUCUAUGGGCCGCUAUACGUAAGCCCUCCGCCAUAUUGUAGCGAUCUUGACUUGAUGUCAUUUACCAUAAUAAUCACUGAAUAUUCAAAUUAUGCCACAAUCUGCGAACCCAACUGCUCUGUUCAAACCUACAGCGUGGUGAAUGACAUCCUGUUCCAAGGUGGCGGAUGAAUCUACGUGCUUGGAGUCCAUGUUAAAAUGGGGUAAAAAAGACUGACUCAAGUGAAACUCCAUUUUAAAUUAAAAAAGACCACAAAUUUGUCCAUGUCUGGUGUUAUAUGCAUGGCUUGGAGCAGUCGAGCUCAAUCAUACAAAUUCAUAUUCAUACAAAUAUUUUUUGUACAUGAAUUUCUUCUGUUGAACACUGGUAGCCACUGACUUCCAUAGUUUUUUGUUUGUAUUUCAUUACAGUAGAAGUCAAUGGCUACCAGGAACUGCCUGGUUACCCACAUUUUUCAAAAUAUCUUCAUUUGUGCUCAUUAGUAGAAAGACAGUUGUAUAGAUUUGGAACAACAUGAGGGUGAGCAAACUAUAAUAAAUCUUCUUUUGGGGGUUUGCAAAAAUAUUUAAGUAUUACAUCAUUGAGAGCAAUGCAGUUUUUCUACACAGGCUGAUUAUUUUAUAAUGCAUGAAAAAAGUGAUCGGAUAGUUUCAACAAAAGCAUAGUUCAACUUGCAUAGCAAGUUAUUGUUAAAAGUCAACUUUCCUAUGAAGAAAACUAUUUUUUGGAGAAAAUCAUAUUAUUCAAAAUGGAAUCAUAGUAUUAUUAUUAUUAAUAUUAUUAUUAUAAUCAUCAUUAUUAUUAAUACAAUAUAAUAAAAAAAUAUAUAUUUUUUACAUUGUGAUUUACUUUUUUUGGAAUAACAAUUAUUACAAAAUAUCUUGCAGAUUCAGUACUUUUAAACUGUAAGAAAGAUCUGCUAUUAGGCUCAUCCCCCUAAACUGUAGCUGGAAUCAUUGAUUCAUAUAGUAGAGUAAGUAAUGACAGAAUAGUGUUUUUUGCCUAAAUUAUUCUUGAAAUAUAAAGACAGCAGUGCAUUAAAGCUGAGCAUGAAGGUUCCAUUUGUAAUGCAUUUAUUUUUCAUCUGUGAAUUAAUGCCCAGACAAACUGCAAUAGAGUCAGGUACAUGCACUAUAAACAGCUAUCUUGAGUGUGACCAGCACUGAUUUUGAACUGAUCUAUGUGCAUUUGAGCGCAUGUACUGUAUACGGAAUCGGUAGGAACAAUAUAUUUUCGUCGCGAGCCCUGCAUUUCUGUACGCCUAUACCCAGAAAAAUGAUUUUUGAACUCCGAGCACACAGAUCCUCAAGCCCCUCAGUGCCAUGGAAACAGCAUAUCUCCGAUAGCAACAGUGACCGUGGUGACAUUUGUGAUGUAACCUGAUGUUCUGUCAUUUCUGCAGUGGAGUGUUUUUAACUUUUUUUUUUUUUUUUUUUUUGUGUUUCUCCACAUCUCUAAUUGCAGCCCACUUGGAAGCAAGAAUGUGUUGUUGUCUUUAAAGAUGCAUAUUAAAAUCGCCUCAAAUGAUCUUUUGUCUGACAAAGGUGUGAACCUGGAGACCUGUAAAUUUAGCUGUCUCGCACAUAUUUUGCGAGACUUUUCAGUCGAGCCGCAGGCAGCAUAUGCACAGCCUGCUUGUUAUGUCACCAUUAAUGCUGAAAGGCACUAUUAAUAAUAUUUGGUUAUAGUGUGCGCAUGGAUUUGUGCAAUCUGACAUAAGAUUGUUGUUAUGCUGUUGAUGUGUCAUUGUACUCACUCUCCGACUAUCAUCCUGUCUUUUUUUUGCUUCGCUCACUCACUCAUGCACCCUGCUUUGCAAUCAAUAACUCAUCUUUCAGCGUCGAUUUUCCUCUUCCCCACAGGAAAACAAACGUCCUUCUACAGGACAAACAAAGGGGAGAGAGGGGGAAAGAGAUGAUGACACACCAGAAAGAGAGGACAGGAUGCGAGGCUUGAUCAUUGGAAAAUUACCGAUAACCCAGUAGAUAUACUGAAACUGAAACAUACUGUCAUUUAACGGGAAGGGAAAAGUGGGCCAGGGGCUGCUGGGGGAAGAUUGAAAGGGUAGUUAUGGGAUGGAUGAUUAGCCCUUGUCUCCAAGGUUACCCUUUACAACUGUAUCAGUGCAGAGCGGAUUGGAAGAGACGAGGCGGGGUUGUUUAGGGGACGGCAUAUGGAAGGGAUGGAGCUUAAGUCAGCACAGAGAUCAAAGACCUGUAUUGACCUACGGUACAGCUGCAUUAAUUUCAUAGAACUUGGGCUGCCAAAGAUAGACAGGUUUUAAGGCUCACAAAGUGAAAACGAUA